AGCGAACGCUGGCGGCAGGCUUAACACAUGCAAGUCGAACGGCCCUUCGGGGCGAGUGGCGGACGGGUGAGUAACACGUGGGAACGUGCCCUUAGGUUCGGAACAACACAGGGAAACUUGUGCUAAUACCGGAUGUGCCCUUUGGGGUAAAGGAUUUAUCGCCUUUGGAGCGGCCCGCGUCUGAUUAGCUAGUUGGUGGGGUAAAAGACCUACCAAGGCGACGAUCAGUAGCUGGUCUGAGAGGANGGCCAGCCACACUGGGACUGAGACACGGCCCAGACUCCUACGGGAGGCAGCAGU
rnacentral:rRNA from 1 species